rnacentral:rRNA from 1 species
UACGGAGGAUCCAAGCGUUGUCCGGAUUUAUUGGGUUUAAAGGGUGCGUAGGCGGGCUAUUAAGUCAGUGGUGAAAGUUUGCAGCUUAACUGUAAAAGUGCCAUUGAAACUGAUAGUCUUGAGUAUGGUUGAGGUAGAUGGAAUGUAUCAUGUAGCGGUGAAAUGCUUAGAUAUGAUACAGAACACCAAUUGCGAAGGCA